GAUGAACGCUGGCGGCGUGCCUAAUACAUGCAAGUCGAGCGAAUGGAUUGAGAGCUUGCUCUUAUGAAGUUAGCGGCGGACGGGUGAGUAACACGUGGGUAACCUGCCCAUAAGACUGGGAUAACUCCGGGAAACCGGGGCUAAUACCGGAUAACAUUUUGAACCGCAUGGUUCGAAAUUGAAAGGCGGCUUCGGCUGUCACUUAUGGAUGGACCCGGGUCGCAUUAGCUAGUUGGUGAGGUAACGGGUCACCAAGGCAACGAUGCGUAGCCGACCUGAGAGGGUGAUCGGCCACACUGGGACUGAGACACGGCCCAGACUCCUACGGGAGGCAGCAGUAGGGAAUCUUCCGCAAUGGACGAAAGUCUGACGGAGCAACGCCGCGUGAGUGAUGAAGGCUUUCGGGUCGUAAAACUCUGUUGUUAGGGGAGAACAAGUGCUAGUUGAAUAAGCUGGCACCUUGACGGUACCUAACCAGAAAGCCACGGCUAACUACGUGCCAGCAGCCGCAGUAA
rnacentral:rRNA from 1 species